rnacentral:rRNA from 1 species
UACGUAGGGUGCAAGCGUUAAUCGGAAUUACUGGGCGUAAAGCGUGCGCAGGCGGUGAUGUAAGACAGGUGUGAAAUCCCCGGGCUUAACCUGGGAACUGCAUUUGUGACUGCAUCGCUGGAGUGCGGCAGAGGGGAUGGAAUUCCGCGUGUAGCAGUGAAAUGCGUAGAUAUGCGGAGGAACACCGAUGGCGAAGGCAUCCCCUGGGCCUGCACUGACGCUCAUGCACGAAAGCGUGGGGAGCAAACAGG